rnacentral:lncRNA from 1 species
UCCCAGCUCCGAGAUGUGUUUGAGGACCCCACCCUCUGGUCCCUGCUGCACUUCCAUUCCCUCACAGAGCUCAAGAAAGACAACUUCCGGCUGAGCCCUGCACUGCGCAGCCUGUCCAUCUGUUGGCAUUCCAGCCGUGUGCAAGUGUGUAGCAUCGAGGACUGGCUCAAGAGCGCCUUCCAGAGGAGCAUCUGCAGCCAGCACGAGAACCUGGUUAAUGAUUUCCUCCUGCAGGUGUGCAACAGGUAGGCCACCUUGCCCCUGAGCAGUGUGGCUUUGCUGGCCUUGGCUCCAGGGGGACUGGGAAGCACACAUUCCAAGAGCAAAAUGGCUCUAAUUGAGACCAAGGCAGACAACCAGUUCUAAGAGUUGGGUUAAAUCGGCUUGCUCUCAGCUCCUGAAGAUGCUUCUGUGGCAAAGGAAGUUCUGAGUUCAGCUAGCCCUGUCCUUGGAGCAGCUGUCUUCACUGGCAGCCAUUAAGGCCUGGUUAGGUUCAGCUGAGCCUGAAUUUUCAAGGUCAGGCCCCAGGAAAAGGCUCCCAGAGGCAUCAGGUGGUGCAGGCCUCUAAUUUGGCCAAAAAUAUACACCAUUUCUCAACUAGGCCUGAGAGCUGCCGAUGAGGAAGGAGAGCC